rnacentral:rRNA from 1 species
ACUCCUACGGGAGGCAGCAGUGGGGAAUAUUGCACAAUGGGCGCAAGCCUGAUGCAGCCAUGCCGCGUGUAUGAAGAAGGCCUUCGGGUUGUAAAGUACUUUUCAGCAGUGAGGAAGGUGGAUAUGUUAAUAGCAUAUUCAUUUGACGUUAGCUGCAGAAGAAGCACCGGCUAACUCCGUGCCAGCAGCCGCGGUAAUACGGAGGUGCGAGCGUUAAUCGGAAUUACUGGACGUAAGCGCAUGCAGGUGGUUUGUUAAGUCAGAUGUGAAAGCCCGGGGCUCAACCUCGGAAUUGCAUUUGAAACUGGCAAACUAGAGUACUGUAAGAGGGGGGUAGAAUUUCAGGUGUAGCGGUGAAAUGCGUAGAGAUCUGAAGGAAUACCGGUGGCGAAGGCGGCCCCCUGGACAGAUACUGACACUCAGAUAGCGAAAGCGUGGGGAGCAAACAGGAUUAGAUACCCUGGUAGCU